rnacentral:rRNA from 1 species
UAGGGAAUCUUCCACAAUGGACGCAAGUCUGAUGGAGCAACGCCGCGUGAGUGAAGAAGGUUUUCGGAUCGUAAAGCUCUGUUGUUGGUGAAGAAGGAUAGAGGCAGUAACUGGUCUUUAUUCGACGGUAAUCAACCAGAAAGUCACGGCUAACUACGUGCCAGCAGCCGCGGUAAUACGUAGGUGGCAAGCGUUGUCCGGAUUUAUUGGGCGUAAAGCGAGCGCAGGCGGAAUGAUAAGUCUGAUGUGAAAGCCCACGGCUCAACCGUGGAACUGCAUCGGAAACUGUAAUGCUUGAGUGCAGAAGAGGAGAGUGGAAUUCCAUGUGUAGCGGUGGAAUGCGUAGAUAUAUGGAAGAGCACCAGUGGCGAAGGCGGCUCUCUGGUCUGCAACUGACGCUGAGGCUCGAAAGCAUGGGUAGCGAACAGG